AAAAAAAAAAAAAAAAAAAAAAAAAAAAAAAAAGGAAGAAAAAAAAAAAAGAGAACCCUCCAGCUACCUACAAAGGGGCUCAGGGCUUUGUAAUGGCAGAAAGAAACAAAAAUGAAAAGAAAAUUGCGGUUGAGGCUAAAGUGUGAGAGUGUGUUUGUGUGUAUGUAUAUCUGUGUGUAUUUUUAAAGGUUUCUUUGAACUGCCUUUGUGCUGAGUAGGCAGAGCUCCUUGCCAAUGCUAGUCACGGUUUAAGGAACUUUGAGUUAACCUCUUAUAUCGAAUGAAUCUUUUCAUUUGGAAACCAAUAAAUCUCAAUCUCUAGCCACCUUUUGUAGAGCAGGCUGGGGCUUACCAAGGCGAGGCUGAAGCUUAUAAUAAAGAAGAGAUAAAGUUUGCCAAAGUUUUUUUCUUUUUUCUUUUUUUUUUUUCCCCCCCUUCUUCUUCUCUUGUAAAUAAAAGUUUUGGAGAUGGCAGCAGUUGGAAGCAAUCCGGAGAAGGACUCGGAUCUGUGCAUUGUUUCACAGAUCAUCCAAAAGGAAAGAAGGUGAAAUGUGAAGCAAGGGGAGAGAAGAAUGUCCGUGUAUUGCUUUCCAGUCUGCAAUGGUCAUGGAUUUCAUUGGGAAUAACUGCUUUGCCCAGUCUGUGUCAGGUGGAGCCAGCUCUGCUUUUACACAUUAACUCCAGCUCUGGCUAAGAGAAGGAAGAUGUUCUCCUGGUACAUUUGUAGAACUGGUUUCUCUUUGCUCCAUGCAUGACCACCCAGAUGCGCGUCUCUUCCCGAGGCACUCAGCUUUGCUCUCUGCUCCAAUCUUUCUCUGUGUGCCCCAUGAAACACAGAGGAUGUAUUACUAACAGUGGUAUCUUGAUUUCAUUUAAACGUAACGGGACAAAGAGUAGGUUUGCUAGAUGGAUUUUUCAUCUAUAAACUCAUCUAUAAACUGCCUUCUGCAGUAUCACAGAACCAUUGAAUAUCCCAAGUUGGGAGAGUUCAUGAAUGAUCCAUAAGGAUCACUGAGUCUAAGUACUGGAGCACUCAAUCCAGUCUGGGUGUUUCUACACCGUUACAAGACUUACACUUUGGAUACUCUUUGGGCCUCAUCCUGACUGGGCUCCCCUUAACAAGGGAACUAAAAUGAAGAGGUAAAUGAAUUUCUUCCUGGAAGAUUGGAGCAGAAAUGCUAAGUCAUGGCCUGAAGCAGUGAUUGAGCACCUGGUAGGAAGGCAGUGCCAACCCAGUGGAGCACAGGUGCAUGCAAUGCAAUGCAAUGCAGCUGAGUGAUGAAGGGGUGGAGCCAGGAUCCACCCCUUCCUAGACCUCAUUUAAGGGCUGGAAGUGGAGGUGAGGGUCUGUUGCAGGAGGUCUUUGCAAAACUGUGAUCUUUGGAAGGUAAGUUUUUUUUGUUCUUCUUCCUCCUCUUCCUUCUCCCUCUCUCUUCUGUGCUCAAGGCUGUUGAUUUUGAGCAGAUCCUCACUUGCUGUAUCUUGGGACCUUGCUGCUCUGUUGUCAUUGCUAUGCUUUCCAUUUCCAUCCACGAAGAUGCAGUUUUUCAAUAUGUUGCACUUUAUUUAUUUUUUUUCACCCCCUGUUAUUUUUCUCGUUGGCCACAGAACCAUCUGCUGGUGUCACCAUUUCUGGUCCCUUGGAAAUUGGCCUUGCAGAGCACAAGGUCUGUCCUGGCUGAGGGCUGAAAUCUGCUGCUUGGGGUGAGGGGAAGGAGCUGGAGGAGCCCUCUGCCUACCAGGGUCAUGAGUGCAGCACUCACACCAGUCAUGUGCUGCAAGCUAUGUUUUAUUUUGUGCUGCCUGCCAGCCUCAAUUUCAACUUCUUAAAGAGGUUCCUUUGCUAUAGAAAACCACAGAGGACUACAGAUUGGGGACUGCAGUCCUAUGCAGAAUAAGGAAAGCUGAUUUAACUGUUAAAGUGUUAACAUUUCCUUGGUCUCUUUCAGAGCUUCUUCAGAAGUAAAUAGACAGAUUCUGAAACUUUUGUGUUGCUCAGGACCCUAAAAUCUCAGAUCCUUAAAUCCCGGGUAGGACUGUAAGGCACCAGAGUGCUGUGAGGAGUGGGUACCAGCACUGGAGGACAAAGACUGCAGUAGAAGAGGUGGCUGAGCAGAGGAUCCAAACUGGCGCUGUUGAUGAAGAAGAAACUGGGAUACAGUCAGGAAGAAUGGCAUGAAAAAAGGCACGUGAGCAUCUGGAAAGGGAGGUUAAGAAGUGUGACCUUACUGUAGGAUGGAAGAAAAAGACAUGUAGAAGAUGUCUGGAAGAAGGGCACAGUGUGCUGAGAGAAGUGAUUUGCUGCUUGGGCUUGGUCUGGGUGACAGAUGGGAGGCUGCAGUGAGGAAAGAGACACAGAAGGGAGAAGGGGCCAGCAGCAGAGUGAGUGGGACCUUGGGUGGGCAGUAGAGGAGAGGUGAGAGGCAGUACCAUUUGGGGGAGAGGGGGAUGACUGCCAGCUCUCCUGAGUGAUGGGAUGGCAUUGUCAGCAGUGAGGUUGUCAGGGAUGGCAGGUGACAAGGUGUGGGCAAUAUGGAGCAGAAAGAGCUCCUCCCUCACUGCUGAUGUGGGAGGGGUGAGCUCAGUUUUGUUCUCUCAGUGCAGUUUCUCAAAAUCCAGGGCCAUCUGGACACGGUCCUGUCCCUCACACAAGCUGUUGCCCAGGGAUUGCUCUGGCAGCCAUGACUGGCUGGCAUGUCCAGGAGUCUGUGUUCACAGCCAGAAGGGCAGAUGGCACAGGAUUCACUACAGUGGCUUUGCAGCACCUGGUGUCACCAUUUGGGGGUGUGGGGUCCGGUGGAGCCAGGUGAGCCUUGCUGUGUGCACUGCAGUGUCAUUCAAUUGAGUUCCACAGGGCUGCUCUGCCAUGCUGACCCAGCAAGCUCCCAGUCACUUUCAGUAUCACUGGUGCAAACAUUUGGGAUGGAUAUGCUCCUCUCCAGCUGGCUUUGUGGUGUUGGGCUGUUCCAAAGAUCUGCCUGAGGUAAGGGAGGACAGUGGCACUCAGCUGACAUCACUUCAGCAAUGUGUUUGCAGUGACUGAUGUCUUCAGCUCACUGCCAUUGGUGCUCUGGGUUGCUCAAGAAAUGGGUAUGAAGAAGAGACACCGAAAACUGUGAUCACUCUGCUCACAUGCCUACACACUAGGGUUGUUUUGUUCAAGGAAUGUUUUAUUAGCAUUUCACCAUCCCAGUAACAAUGCUUUUUUUUUUUUAAUAGCAUUUGUGAUAUGGAAUUUGUCAAAAAUUAAAA